GAUGAACGCUGACAGAAUGCUUAACACAUGCAAGUCAACUUGAAUUUGGGUUUUUAACUUAGGUUUGGGUGGCGGACGGGUGAGUAACGCGUAAAGAACUUGCCUCACAGCUAGGGACAACAUUUGGAAACGAAUGCUAAUACCUAAUAUUAUGAUAAUAGGGCAUCCUAUAAUUAUGAAAGCUAUAAGCGCUGUGAGAGAGCUUUGCGUCCCAUUAGCUAGUUGGAGAGGUAACUGCUCACCAAGGCGAUGAUGGGUAGCCGGCCUGAGAGGGUGAUCGGCCACAAGGGGACUGAGACACGGCCCUUACUCCUACGGGAGGCAGCAGUGGGGAAUAUUGGACAAUGGACCAAGAGUCUGAUCCAGCAAUUCUGUGUGCACGAUGAAGUUUUUCGGAAUGUAAAGUGCUUUCAGUUGGGAAGAAAGAAAUGACGGUACCAACAGAAGAAGUGACGGCUAAAUACGUGCCAGCAGCCGCGGUAAUACGUAUGUCACGAGCGUUAUCCGGAUUUAUUGGGCGUAAAGCGCGUCUAGGUGGUUAUAUAAGUCUGAUGUGAAAAUGCAGGGCUCAACUCUGUAUUUGCGUUGGAAACUGUAUAACUAGAGUACUGGAGAGGUAAGCGGAACUACAAGUGUAGAGGUGAAAUUCGUGGAUAUUUGUAGGAAUGCCGAUGGGGAAGCCAGCUUACUGGACAGAUACUGACGCUGAAGCGCGAAAGCGUGGGUAGCAAACAUG
rnacentral:rRNA from 1 species